rnacentral:lncRNA from 1 species
ACGCCAAUGGUACGGUAAGAUCACCAGGUUACUCGAAAAUAUCUCCGCCUUGCCUGAAACAGAAGGACACAAGCACACCAUUGGCCGCAUCCACCUCAUGCCAAUCCCAGCCAGACAAGAAGUAAUCUCCCCUCCACCAGCAGGAACAAUUCAGAUGCCAGCACAACUCUUGCUGUCUCUCUUUAAUAUUUUUAUUUAUUUAUUCAUGCGCUAUCAGAAUAUUCGAAGAAAAAACAAUGUUCACAUAUCGGAAAAACAAAAAAAAAAAAAAGGUGUAUCACACAUAACACUAGAUCCAUUGAAUCC